rnacentral:rRNA from 1 species
UACGAAGGGGGCUAGCGUUGCUCGGAAUGACUGGGCGUAAAGGGCGCGUAGGCGGUUUGUACAGUCAGGUGUGAAAUCCCCGGGCUCAACCCGGGAACUGCGUCCGAUACUGGCAGGCUUGAAUCCGGGAGAGGGAUGCGGAAUUCCAGGUGUAGCGGUGAAAUGCGUAGAUAUCUGGAGGAACACCGGUGGCGAAGGCGGCAUCCUGGACCGGUAUUGACGCUGGGGCGCGAAAGCCAGGGGAGCAAACGGG